UCAUUCCCAUGCUAAAAUGUCUUCUUACUCGAUCUAUGUAGUGGUUUUCGCAUUUAACAAAACGAAUAAGAACGAUUUAUAAGAUUUGAAUAGGUAUAAUGGCUACCAAAACUUCUAAUUCAUCAUUAGCAUAGGAUUGUGUGUACAGUACAGCCUCGAACAUAAGUUUUUACGCUCAGUUUCAGUCGACUAAACACUGCGAACCUUGCAUAUAAUGAACUUUAUAAUCUGUAGAAUAAGACACAAAUUGAUAAGAACCCCACGGUUUGUAAAUUUGUAGCUCUAAGUAUGAUAGCGCGACCUCAUGAUCUUAGCAUUAAAGAUCAGUGCGGCAUCUGAGGCUUAUCUGCGUGGACUUGUUAAAAUACGUUACUUUAAUAAAUUGAAAUUGUAAAUCCAAUAAUAAAAGAGUAACAGAACACAAUGGUGGUAAAUAAGAGCUAUACCUCUAGUAGUGAUAGUGGUGGUGAUCUAGAAAUGAGUGCAAAUCAUAGUAAAGUGAAUGAAGGAUCUUAUGGGUAUGAAGAAGCUUUGGAUUUAGCAGGUCACGGCAAGUACAACACCCUGCUGCUGCUGGCGUGCUUCCUGGUGAUCACGGCCAUGGGCAUCGACAUCUUCGGGCUGGGGAUCAUAGUGGCAGCUGCCAGCUGCGACCUGCGGCUCACGCUGCAGCAGGCCGGCGUGCUGUCCUCCAUGCCGUUCGCUGGCAUCAUCGUAAUGUCGUACCCGUGGGGCUACUUGUCGGACACGCGAGGCCGCAAGCUGGUGCUGCAGGUGGCCAUGGCGGGCAGCUUCGCCAGCGCGGCGCUGAGCAGCCUGGCGCCCAGCUGGCAGCUGCUGGCCGCGCUGCGGUUCCUCAGCUCGGCCCUGUCAAGCGCAGCUGAAUCCGCGACGUACGCUCUCCUCGGCGAGUGUUGCGGCGCGCGCGUGCGGGCGCGGUACAUGCUGCUAGUGACCAGCGCGCUCAUGCUCACGCCCGCCCUCUACUACAGUAAGACACGCCACUCUCUAUACAUCACUACUGACAUGUCGAGCGCAGUGAGUCCGCGACGUGUCGGCGAGUGUUGCGGCGCGCGCGUGCGGGCGCGGUACAUGCUGCUAGUGACCAGCGCGCUCAUGCUCACGCCCGCCCUCUACUACAGUAAGACACGCCACUCUCUAUACAUCACUACUGACAUGUCGAGCGCAGUGAGUCCGCGACGUGUCGGCGAGUGUUGCGGCGCGCGCGUGCGGGCGCGGUACAUGCUGCUAGUGACCAGCGCGCUCAUGCUCACGCCCGCCCUCUACUACAGUAAGACACGCCACUCUCUAUACAUCACUACUGACAUGUCGAGCGCAGUGAGUCCGCGACGUGUCGGCGAGUGUUGCGGCGCGCGCGUGCGGGCGCGGUACAUGCUGCUAGUGACCAGCGCGCUCAUGCUCACGCCCGCCCUCUACUACAGUAAGACACGCCACUCUCUAUACAUCACUACUGACAUGUCGAGCGCAGUGAGUCCGCGACGUGUCGGCGAGUGUUGCGGCGCGCGCGUGCGGGCACGGUACAUGCUGCUAGUGACCAGCGCGCUCAUGCUCACGCCCGCCCUCUACUACAGUAAGACACGCCACUCUCUAUACAUCACUACUGACAUGUCGAGCGCAGUGAGUCCGCGACGUGUCGGCGAGUGUUGCGGCGCGCGCGUGCGGGCGCGGUACAUGCUGCUAGUGACCAGCGCGCUCAUGCUCACGCCCGCCCUCUACUACAGUAAGACACGCCACUCUCUAUACAUCACUACUGACAUGUCGAGCGCAGUGAGUCCGCGACGUGUCGGCGAGUGUUGCGGCGCGCGCGUGCGGGCGCGGUACAUGCUGCUAGUGACCAGCGCGCUCAUGCUCACGCCCGCCCUCUACUACAGUAAGACACGCCACUCUCUAUACAUCACUACUGACAUGUCGAGCGCAGUGAGUCCGCGACGUGUCGGCGAGUGUUGCGGCGCGCGCGUGCGGGCGCGGUACAUGCUGCUAGUGACCAGCGCGCUCAUGCUCACGCCCGCCCUCUACUACAGUGAAAGAAGUGUACCUGGAAGAAGGGAAUAAAGAAGAAGUGGGUGUGUUCUCCCUGCGCUCGCUGUGGACGCAGAUCGCGCCGCUCUUCCAGCGCCCACUGCUGGGCAGGACGCUGCUCCUCUUCUACCUGACCUUCGUCGUCUAUAUCGCGAACAACAGUUUUGCGAUCAUCCUACCGACGAUCUUCAACGUGUUCUUCACGUCGUACGCGAGCCGCGGCGCCGGCCCCGGCGCCGGCUUCUGCGACCUCUUCGCCCGCACCGGGCAGGACAACUCCACUGUCGUCCAAGAUGCCGAC
rnacentral:misc_RNA from 1 species